ACGACCAUACCUGCGAGAAAAUACGGGAUCCCGUCCGCUCUCCCAUCGCCAAGCUCGCAAGGGGUGGAUUAGUAGUUGGGUCGGUGACGACCAGCGAAUACCCGCUGUUGUAUGUU
rnacentral:rRNA from 1 species